GCCUCGAAGAAAACCCUGUACAGCACUCAGGAAGUUGAUUUUUGUAGUGGCGAGGGCAGUGGUUCCACACCACGGAGGACGGAGCCCUGCAGGCAGCAGGUGAUGGCGGUGAUGUCCGGACCCGGCCAAAUGUGGCAGGAGGAACCCGAGGAAGUGCUUCUCAGCUAAAACGUGCCCUGUGCAGCGAGCGUCAUAUAAUUGAAGCAGGCAAUGGGUCACUGAAUUCACGCAGAGCAUCACGCUUUCAGAGCGUCUUUUCUGUAGGAAUAGAUCAGUGCAAUUUACAGCAGAGUAAUGCGGACGAGGAGAGCAGCAAUCCAGCUGGGCUGGGGCUGUGCAGACAGCUCUCGGUCUGGUCUCGGGGAAAAGACGUGUGGGACCGAGGCGGUGGCGCUGGGCUCUGCUGGAACCUGCAAGGGAGAAUCGCCCGGGGGAACCACUGAGAGACCCAGGGCAGCAGCAGGUGAUUCAGCAAAACAGAACGGAUGGACGGGUGGAGGGAAGGAAGGAAGGAAGGAGGGAAGGAAGGACUUUUUGGACUCUCCUCUAAUUUAUUCAGACGUUGUAAAAUCCAAUGUUUUCACCAGAGAGAAAGUAGUAUAGAAACAGGGCCGGGAAUAAGUAGCCUCUCCUCCCCAUAAGCAGGGGUGUCUUCUCCUCACCAGAUCCUGCCCAUUCGCCUCCCUUUCAGUUUCAACCAACAGGCAAAUAAAGUAUCUGGCAGAUAUGCCA
rnacentral:lncRNA from 1 species